UAGGGAAUCUUCGGCAAUGGACGAAAGUCUGACCGAGCAACGCCGCGUGAGUGAAGAAGGUUUUCGGAUCGUAAAACUCUGUUGUUAGAGAAGAACAAGGACGUUAGUAACUGAACGUCCCCUGACGGUAUCUAACCAGAAAGCCACGGCUAACUACGUGCCAGCAGCCGCGGUAAUACGUAGGUGGCAAGCGUUGUCCGGAUUUAUUGGGCGUAAAGCGAGCGCAGGCGGUUUCUUAAGUCUGAUGUGAAAGCCCCCGGCUCAACCGGGGAGGGUCAUUGGAAACUGGGGGACUUGGGUGCAGAAGAGGAGAGUGGAAUUCCAUGUGUAGCGGUGAAAUGCGUAGAUAUAUGGGGAAACACCAGUGGCGAAGGCGGCUCUCUGGUCUGUAACUGACGCUGAGGAUCGAAAGCGUAGGGAGCAAACAGG
rnacentral:rRNA from 1 species